rnacentral:lncRNA from 1 species
GAGGGUACGGACAGCCCCGGUCUUUGAUUUAUGGAAGUGCAGUGUACUGAACAAGUCCUCUUCAAAUCUGCUGUUACGAUGAAGCAUUGCCUGUCAGCAGCAUUAUGCUGCACAACGGAAUGAGGACAAAUGCUGACACACUUUCCAGUUCUGAUCGCAGCCAGCUCUGAUAACAAACAACACAGGCGCCUGUCCUCUCCCUCUUAUUUUGUCCAUUCCUCUGCAAGAUGCACAGUCAUGGGGCAUUUCUCUAUCAGUUCCUGGGAAGCCCUGACAGCUAGGAUGCUGAAUAUUACAGGGAAGAGUUGGGUUUAUGAAAUGAACCUUGUGGAAGUACUCAUGCUCCAAGUGGGGGCAGGAGUGAGGAGCUGAGCAUGGACUCAGUUUAAUGAAGAUGAACAAUAGCUAAGACUUGAUGCUGACAUAAGGAGGGGUGCCAUGGUGAUUUAAUGCCCCCUUCCCAGUAUCUGUCAUCUAACUACCCCCAGAAGACAGUUCUUCCUUGGACUUAGAGGUCUACUAAGAAUCCCAGGGCAAUCCAACAAGAAUCCCACAGUAUGUUUGUUUCACUUAGAAUCACCUAGUAGCAAAAAUAGGAAUUUAAAAUACACAGUGAAAUUCAUUAAAAAUGCAUUUCUGUAGAAAGAAAACUCCAUGGAAUAUUCCAUUCUCUUAACAACACAAUUCUAACUUAAUCCAGGAAAUCCCUCCACACCAAGUUAGAGAACGUGUUUACAUGAGGUGUCCGGUUAUCUCAGUUUGAUUUUUCCCUUAGAAUGAAGCCUGCUCCAGUGAGGAAGUGCAGCUCUUCCAGCAGUCCUGACACCAGAACAUCACCCAGAAAAACAAACCAUGUCCACUCCUUUACAAAACACCACCCCAUCUUAGUACCACCCAAUUCCCUGGGCUUUGACUCUUCCAUUUUCCCAGAUUAUGCAAGUAAAAGAGACAGUGGAGUCAAGGCUGAACCACUGCUGUUUCUAUAAACAUAUAUGCUUCUACAAAGACACACAGCAAGAAGGAACAGAGUCAGUGCUAAGGAUGAGGCCCAGCUCCCCGUACAAGGCCUCUGUUCCAUGGGAGCCACAACACUCAAAACAAGAAGUUUCCAGGCCAACUCUCAAGUUCAAUUGUUGUAAUCACUCCAAGAUAUGCUUGAAUCCACGUCACCUCAACUCUCAAUCACCACUAAAAGCCCUUGGAAUCUGCUGA